GGGCCGGUGGCGGAAUGGCAGACGCGGGGGACUUAAAAUCCUCUGGGUGAUCCCCGUGCGGGUUCAAAUCCCGCCCGGCCCA
rnacentral:tRNA from 1 species